CCUACGGGAGGCUGCAGUGGGGAAUAUUGGACAAUGGGGGGAACCCUGAUCCAGCCUUGCCGCGUGUGUGAAGAAGGCCCUCGGGUUGUAAAGCACUUUCAGUGAGGAAGAACGCCUGGUGGUUAAUACCCAUCAGGAAAGACAUCACUCACAGAAGAAGCACCGGCUAACUCCGUGCCAGCAGCCGCGGUAAUACGGAGGGUGCGAGCGUUAAUCGGAAUUACUGGGCGUAAAGCGCGCGUAGGUGGCUUGAUAAGCCGGUUGUGAAAGCCCCGGGCUCAACCUGGGAACGGCAUCCGGAACUGUCAAGCUAGAGGGCAGGAGAGGAAGGUAGAAUUCCCGGUGUAGCGGUGAAAUGCGUAGAGAUCGGGAGGAAUACCAGUGGCGAAGGCGGCCUUCUGGACUGACACUGACACUGAGGUGCGAAAGCGUGGGUAGCAAACAGGAUUAGAUACCCCGGUAGUC
rnacentral:rRNA from 1 species